rnacentral:rRNA from 1 species
GAUGAACGCUGGCGGCGUGCUUAACACAUGCAAGUCGAACGGGAUCGGCUGGAGCUUGCUCCGGCCGUGAGAGUGGCGAACGGGUGAGUAAUGCGUGACCGACCUGCCCCAUACACCGGAAUAGCUCCUGGAAACGGGUGGUAAUGCCGGAUGCUCCAGUUGACCGCAUGGUCCUCUGGGAAAGCUUUUGCGGUAUGGGAUGGGGUCGCGUCCUAUCAGCUUGAUGGCGGGGUAACGGCCCACCAUGGCUUCGACGGGUAGCCGGCCUGAGAGGGCGACCGGCCACAUUGGGACUGAGAUACGGCCCAGACUCCUACGGGAGGCAGCAGUGGGGAAUAUUGCACAAUGGGCGCAAGCCUGAUGCAGCGACGCCGCGUGCGGGAUGACGGCCUUCGGGUUGUAAACCGCUUUUGACUGGGAGCAAGC